AGACAGAGACCACGAGCGUUAUCGGAAGUGACUGGGCGUAAAGGAACCGUAGGCGGCACGGCGCGUCGUCGGUGAAAGCCCCCGGCUCAACCGGGGAACUGCAUUGCAUACUGCUUGGCUAGAGCUUAGGAGGGGAAAGUGGAACUCCUGGUGGAGCGGUGGAAUGCGUAGAUAUCAGGAGGAACGCCAGAGGUGAAGACGACUUGCUGGCCUAAUGCUGACGCUGAGGUGCGAAAGCUAGGGUAGCGAACGGGAUUAGAAACCCCAGUAGUCC
rnacentral:rRNA from 1 species